rnacentral:rRNA from 1 species
AUGCCUUAUACAUGCAAGUCGAACGAGAAAGUCACUUCGGUGGCGAUUAAAGUGGCGCACGGGUGAGUAACGCGUAGAUGAUCUACCCUUCAGUCUGGGACAACUCUUGGAAACGGGAGCUAAUACCGGAUAAAACCUUCGGGUUGAAAGAUUUAUCGCUGGGGGAUGAGUCUGCGUACCAUUAGCUUGUUGGUGGGGUAAUAGCCUACCAAGGCGACGAUGGUUAGCGGGUCUGAGAGGACGAUCCGCCACACUGGAACUGAGACACGGUCCAGACUCCUACGGGAGGCAGCAGUAGGGAAUAUUGCGCAAUGGGGGCAACCCUGACGCAGCAAUGCCGCGUGAGUGAAGAAGGCCUUCGGGUCGUAAAGCUCUUUUAUGGGGGAAGAUGAUGACGGUACCCCAUGAAUAAGCACCGGCUAACUACGUGCCAGCAGCCGCGGUAAUACGUAGGGUGCGAGCGUUGUUCGGAAUUACUGGGCGUAAAGGGCGUGCAGGCGGAUUGGCAAGCCGGAGGUGAAAGCCCGGGGCUCAACCCCGGAGGGUCUUUCGGAACUGCCAGUCUUGAGAGGGUCAGGGGCCAGCGGAAUUCCUGGUGUAGAGGUGAAAUUCGUAGAGAUCAGGAGGAACACCGGCGGCGAAAGCGGCUGGCUGGGGCCACUCUGACGCUGAGGCGCGAAAGCGUGGGGAGCAAACAGGAUUAGAUACCCUGGUAGUCCACGCCGUAAACGAUGGGCACUAAGCGUCCGACGGGUUCGACCCUGUUGGGUGCUGCAGUUAACGCGUUAAGUGCCCCGCCUGGGGAGUACGGUC